GCCAGACUCCUACGGGAGGCAGCAGUGGGGAAUAUUGCACAAUGGGGGAAACCCUGAUGCAGCGACGCCGCGUGAGUGAAGAAGUAUUUCGGUAUGUAAAGCUCUAUCAGCAGGAACGAGACAAGACGGUACCUGACUAAGAAGCCCCGGCUAACUACGUGCCAGCAGCCGCGGUAAUACGUAGGGGGCAAGCGUUAUCCGGAAUCACUGGGUGUAAAGGGAGCGUAGACGGCUGUGCAAGCCUGAAGUGAAAGGCGGGGGCCCAACCCCUGGACUGCUUUGGGAACUGUACGGCUGGAGUGCAGGAGAGGUAAGUGGAAUUCCUAGUGUAGCGGUGAAAUGCGUAGAUAUUAGGAGGAACACCAGUGGCGAAGGCGGCUUACUGGACUGUAACUGACGUUGAGGCUCGAAAGCGUGGGGAGCAAACAGGAUUAGAUACCCUUGUA
rnacentral:rRNA from 1 species